CCCUUAGAUGUUCUGGGCCGCACGCGCGCUACACUGAUGCAUUCAACGAGCCUAGCCUUGACCGAGAGGUCCGGGUAAUCUUUGAAACUGCAUCGUGAUGGGGCUAGAUUAUUGCAAUUAUUAAUCUUCAACGAGGAAUGCCUAGUAAGCGUGAUUCAUCAAAUCGCGUUGAUUACGUCCCUGCCCUUUGUACACACCGCCCGUCGCUGCUACCGAUUGGUUGAUCUGGUGAAUUAUUCGGACUGCCGGCUGAAGGGGUUUCCUCAUCUGCCAGCGGAAAGUCUUGUUAACCCUAUCAACUAGAGGAAGCAGAAGUCGUAACA
rnacentral:rRNA from 1 species